ensembl:lncRNA
UUCAAAUCAGCUUUUUAAAAGUCUGGUUAUGUAGAAUAUAGUGAAUAAAGUACACAAACUGCAUUUAGCAUACCUGACCAAGAAGACAGCAAAUUUCAGUCCACCCGAAUUUGUCACACUUUUGACUAUGGAGGACUCAAAGCAACUGACUGGAUGCUGGACAGUGUCCAUAUGGAUGCCAUCAUUGAGUUGCCAGUUGUCCAGUACAAGAGUGGAAAACAGUCCUUGGCAUCUUCAAAAGAAGGUCAAGUUAAAAGACUGUACUUGCAGCCCACCCACUGGGACACAAAAAGGCAAUGAUUCGAACUCCUGUGCAGGUAAUGUGUGACUACAGAGGCUGAACUAUUUGGAAGAUAACCUCAGCUACAGUAGGAGAAAGAACAAUGAAGAUAAUGGAAAAGAAACAGCUAUAAUAACCAUCUGCAAGCACACAUGGCCUCUACUUCAGCACCCAUAAAACUUAAAAUGAUAAAAGAAAAGGAAAUUGCUUGCGAAAUACCAAAGACUGCUUUAUAAACAUUUCUUCUUAUGCUUUUGUAGGGUUGCCCUCUUUCUGGUAUUCGGAGUGUUGUGUGUAUUAAUGCUUAGUGUGGAGAGAGGUAUAUUCCAGGAAAAUCUUUCCUUCACUUCCCCUUCUGCCUUGCAUAUGCACACAUUGUUAGUUAUGGAGUGUACCCAAGGGUGCCAGCAGUGCUGUCCUGCCCACCAAAUCAGUUUUCAUUGCCUGAGCUACACGCCCUGCCCCUCGGCUGUGUACAGGGGUCAGUCCUAGCUCCAUCUGCAUGGCUGCAUAAAGCAACAAUGGCAUUUGAAAGAAGGGAAGAAUUCCAAUCAUGAUCACAGUGACUUCCCUGGACUAGGCUUAAUUUUGCCUUUCAGUGACCAGCAUAGCUUUGGGCUAUCAAUAGUUUUAUAGCUACUACAAGUCCCUUAAGUGAGAGCAUAGUUUUACUGCCUUUUUAUUGGAAUGCAAUGCCAAAUUACAUAUAUGUGUCCCUCCUAAGGCUUAUUUCCCUCCUAGAGUGGUUCUAGCUAGACUAGAGUAGUCAAGCUGGACUGGAUCCCAAACCCAAACCAUGGUGCAGCUCCAACACAGUCCUGGGAGAAACCAAGAGGUGCUGCAGCUGAGAGCUGCUCAAUGGACCCACAAGUACAUUGAGACAAAGGACAACCUGCAGCAGUUUCAAAUUUCCUUGUGAACAUAAUGGAACUAAACCAAGAGUCAUUUGUGCCUUUGAAAUUCAUGUUGAGUGUUGCAAACUUUUAGUCAUUUUGGGAAGAACUGAGCUGAAUCCCCAUCCCAAGUCACACCGUGUGUGAGCUAUUUCUCUCCUAGGAGAACAACAGUGUGUACUCCAUAACUUUUAGCUUCAGACUGCUCUUUAACCUAGACAUGAGCCUUGCAUAAAUUCAGAGGUCACCAAUUGUUAUGGCUUUAUCAAGAACCUUAUUAGUGAUCAUUAAAAAUAAUCUUGCUUAGAAGGAGACUGCUAUGGGCAAAGCCCAUCUUUCCUAUUUAUUUUAUGACUAUUAAUGUUUUUUUUAAUGUUUAUACAUUAGUGCAAGGAACAGUGUUAGCAUAAUUCUAGUGUAAAAUAAAACCAGCUGUAUCCAUUAUAAGUGCA